AACGCGAAGAACCUUACCAACUUUUGACAUGUCCCGUAUGGGUUUCGGAGAUGAGAUCCUUCAGUUCGGCUGGCGGGAACACAGGUGCUGCAUGGCUGUCGUCAGCUCGUGUCGUGAGAUGUUGGGUUAAGUCCCGCAACGAGCGCAACCCUCGGCCUUAGUUGCCAUCAUUCAGUUGGGCACUCUAAGGCGACUGCCGGUGAUAAGCCGGAGGAAGGUGGGGAUGACGUCAAGUCCUCAUGGCCCUUACAGGUUGGGCUACACACGUGCUACAAUGGCGGUGACAAAGGGACGCGAAGGCGCAAGCCUUGGCAAAUCUCAAAAAGCCGUCUCAGUUCGGAUUGGGGUCUGCAACUCGACCCCAUGAAGUUGGAAUCGCUAGUAAUCGCAGAUCAGCACGCUGCGGUGAAUACGUUCCCGGGUCUUGUACACACGC
rnacentral:rRNA from 1 species